UCUAGCCGCCCGCCUCGCCAUCCAGGCUCGGAUAGUCGGAUAGUCGUCUGCCUCCAGCAUCCUUUCUUCUGGCGUCUUUCUCUAACCUGGAGUGACACGUCCACUCCGGGGCAGGUGUAUUUCAAGGGGGUUCUGUAGAGAGAGCUCUAGCCCCCGAGGGAAGCUGAGAUAAGAGGCGCAGAGAUAGGCUCGGUGCCCAGCGGUGCCAGGGAGAUUCCCAAGGGCUUCCUGGAAUUCGCCAGACAGCCGAGAAUGAGGUUUUCGGCUUCCUCUACAUCCCAAACCCGUGGGCCCCCAGGAGCAUUUCCAGAAUUCCUGGAGGCACCUGGCGCAAGUUGGAUGUAGCCUGGAGGAUAGACUCCGGAUUUCCAGGACUACGAAGUCCAGAGAUGAGGAUACCAGGCGAGCCCGCACGGUGACUCAGCUGCCGCCAGCAGCUUCCACAUGGCUGGCAGAUACAUCUAAGCAUCAGUUGCUGACUACAACCUGCUCUGAAUGGUGGUGAGCCCUGGACUUCCUGAAAGCUGAUGUGGACCAGUCCAGCUGAUUUGAACAUGAACGCUCCCUGUCCCUUCAACAAAGUCUGAUGAGGGCCCCAUUGCCUAAAUGUCCCCCCCCCACACACUUUUGGCUAGCCUUUCUACCUGCUUGGGCCCUGAUAACAAUGUCCCAAUAUCAGCUUGAAGUAGUUGUAGAAAGGAACAUGUUGUCCCAUGC